CGAUCGCACACGGUUGUUGCUGGCCCCCAAACCGGGCACGUGCACACCCUGUUUACGCAUCCACUCACACCUGUGCACCCUCUGUAGUUCUGUGGANCGGNAGACGUCGUCUUCCUUCCGUGGCUCUACGUCUUUACACACACNCCGUAGCGAAGUCUCAUGGAAUGUUUUUCGCGUUUAACGCAAUACAAUACAACUUUCAGCAACGGAUCUCUUGGCUCUCGCAUCGAUGAAGAACGCAGCGAAAUGCGAUAAGUAAUGUGAAUUGCAGAAUUCAGUGAAUCAUCGAAUCUUUGAACGCACCUUGCGCCCCUUGGUUAUUCCUCGGGGCAUGCCUGUUUGAGUAUCAUGAACACCUCAACUCUCGUGGUCUUCCAUGAUGAGCUUGGACUUUGGGGGUUUGCUGGCCCUGUGGCCGGCUCCUCUCAAACNAAUCAGCUUGCCAGUGUUNGGCGGCGUCACGGGUGUGAUAACCAUCUACGCUUGCGAUCGCCUGCCAGAUAACCCUCAGCGAUGAAGGUUCAUUGGGGCUCACAAAAGUCUCUCCACGGCGAGGACGAAUUUUGAAUGUUCGAUCUCAAAUCAGGUAGGACUACCCGCUGAACUUAAGCAUAUCAAUAAGCGGAGGAAAAGAAACUAACAAGGAUUCCCCUAGUAACUGCGAGUGAAGCGGGAAGAGCUCAAAUUUAAAAUCUGGCGUGCCUCCGGUCGUCCGAAUUGUAGUCUGGAGAAGNGUUUUCCGUGCUGGACCGUGUACAAGUCUCCUGA
rnacentral:rRNA from 1 species